UGCUGUGAACUCGAAGAGUAGGGCGGGACACGUGGUAUCCUGUCUGAAUAUGGGGGGACCAUCCUCCAAGGCUAAAUACUCCUGACUGACCGAUAGUGAACCAGUACCGUGAGGGAAAGGCGAAAAGAACCCCGGCGAGGGGAGUGAAAAAGAACCUGAAACCGUGUACGUACAAGCAGUGGGAGCCUCUUUAUGGGGUGACUGCGUACCUUUUGUAUAAUGGGUCAGCGACUUAUAUUCUGUAGCAAGGUUAACCGUAUAGGGGAGCCGAAGGGAAACCGAGUCUUAACUGGGCGUUAAGUUGCAGGGUAUAGACCCGAAACCCGGUGAUCUAGCCAUGGGCAGGUUGAAGGUUGGGUAACACUAACUGGAGGACCGAACCGACUAAUGUUGAAAAAUUAGCGGAUGACCUGUGGCUGGGGGUGAAAGGCCAAUCAAACCGGGAGAUAGCUGGUUCUCCCCGAAAGCUAUUUAGGUAGCGCCUCGUGAACUCAUCUUCGGGGGUAGAGCACUGUUUCGGCUAGGGGGCCAUCCCGGCUUACCAACCCGAUGCAAACUACGAAUACCGAAGAAUGUUAUCACGGGAGACACACGGCGGGUGCUAACGUCCGUCGUGAAGAGGGAAACAACCCAGACCGCCAGCUAAGGUCCCAAAGUCAUGGUUAAGUGGGAAACGAUGUGGGAAGGCACAGACAGCCAGGAUGUUGGCUUAGAAGCAGCCAUCAUUUAAAGAAAGCGUAAUAGCUCACUGGUCGAGUCGGCCUGCGCGGAAGAUGUAACGGGGCUAAACCAUGCACCGAAGCUGCGGCAGCGACACUUAUGUGUUGUUGGGUAGGGGAGCGUUCUGUAAGCCGUUGAAGGUGUGCUGUGAGGCAUGCUGGAGGUAUCAGAAGUGCGAAUGCUGACAUAAGUAACGAUAAAGCGGGUGAAAAACCCGCUCGCCGGAAGACCAAGGGUUCCUGUCCAACGUUAAUCGGGGCAGGGUGAGUCGACCCCUAAGGCGAGGCCGAAAGGCGUAGUCGAUGGGAAACAGGUUAAUAUUCCUGUACUUGGUGUUACUGCGAAGGGGGGACGGAGAAGGCUAUGUCAGCCGGGCGACGGUUGUCCCGGUUUAAGCAUGUAGGCGGAGGUUCCAGGUAAAUCCGGUACCUUUUAACGCUGAGGUGUGAUGACGAGGCACUACGGUGCUGAAGUGAUAAAUGCCCUGCUUCCAGGAAAAGCCUCUAAGCAUCAGGUAACACGAAAUCGUACCCCAAACCGACACAGGUGGUCAGGUAGAGAAUACCAAGGCGCUUGAGAGAACUCGGGUGAAGGAACUAGGCAAAAUGGUGCCGUAACUUCGGGAGAAGGCACGCUGAUGUGUAGGUGAAGCCCCUGCGGGCGGAGCUGAAAUCAGUCGAAGAUACCAGCUGGCUGCAACUGUUUAUUAAAAACACAGCACUGUGCAAACACGAAAGUGGACGUAUACGGUGUGACGCCUGCCCGGUGCCGGAAGGUUAAUUGAUGGGGUUAGCGGCAACGCGAAGCUCUUGAUCGAAGCCCCGGUAAACGGCGGCCGUAACUAUAACGGUCCUAAGGUAGCGAAAUUCCUUGUCGGGUAAGUUCCGACCUGCACGAAUGGCGUAAUGAUGGCCAGGCUGUCUCCACCCGAGACUCAGUGAAAUUGAACUCGCUGUGAAGAUGCAGUGUACCCGCGGCAAGACGGAAAGACCCCGUGAACCUUUACUAUAGCUUGACACUGAACACUGGUCCUUGAUGUGUAGGAUAGGUGGGAGGCUUUGAAGCGUGGACGCCAGUCUGCGUGGAGCCAACCUUGAAAUACCACCCUUUAAUGGCUGGUGUUCUAACGUAGACCCGUUACCCGGGUUGCGGACAGUGUCUGGUGGGUAGUUUGACUGGGGCGGUCUCCUCCCAAAGAGUAACGGAGGAGCACGAAGGUUGGCUAAUCCUGGUCGGACAUCAGGAGGUUAGUGCAAUGGCAUAAGCCAGCUUGACUGCGAGCGUGACGGCGCGAGCAGGUGCGAAAGCAGGUCAUAGUGAUCCGGUGGUUCUGAAUGGAAGGGCCAUCGCUCAACGGAUAAAAGGUACUCCGGGGAUAACAGGCUGAUACCGCCCAAGAGUUCAUAUCGACGGCGGUGUUUGGCACCUCGAUGUCGGCUCAUCACAUCCUGGGGCUGAAGUAGGUCCCAAGGGUAUGGCUGUUCGCCAUUUAAAGUGGUACGCGAGCUGGGUUUAGAACGUCGUGAGACAGUUCGGUCCCUAUCUGCCGUGGGCGCUGGAGAAUUGAGGGGGGCUGCUCCUAGUACGAGAGGACCGGAGUGGACGCAUCACUGGUGUUCGGGUUGUCAUGCCAAUGGCACUGCCCGGUAGCUAAAUGCGGAAGAGAUAAGUGCUGAAAGCAUCUAAGCACGAAACUUGCCCCGAGAUGAGUUCUCCCUGAGACCUUGAGUCUCCUGAAGGAACGUUAAAGACGAUGACGUUGAUAGGUCGGGUGUGUAAGCGCAGCGAUGCGUUGAGCUAACCGAUACUAAUGAACCGUGAGGCUUAACCUU
rnacentral:rRNA from 2 species